CCCUCAAAUGUCAUUAGUCAUUAAUAGUGGACCAAUUUCACACCAAGGUCUGCAAUAUCGAUCAAGACUAUACAUGCUCGCAUCUAGUUUGCUAUUUCAAACGGGAAUGUGUACGUACGUGUGUGUACAGGUACAUUCAGCACUCAAGGCAAUGCGUAGGACUACAAUGCAUUGCAUUGCACUAUACGAUGUGUAUGUAAUGUAUUUGAAUUCAGAGUGAAAAAGCCGUUGCAAGAAGUAUCCUCCUGAAUACUCUCGUUUUCUCCUGCAAAUUUACAGUAUGGGCAUCUUUUUUUAACAUCUUUCGUCAAAGAAGUGGAUUCAAAGCACAUUGUGGCCUCAGUAUAUUGAUGUGAAACCAUUCAGAAAAUGCUACUUUCUCUCAACCUUGUGGAUGUUCCCUACUUCCCUAAGGAUCAGCAGCCUCUUGAAACAGAAUUCCUUGCGUCUAUGUUCCUUGGAUCUGAAAACAGUGCAUAAUGCAGGAGAUUCCACCCAAAAGCUAACCCACAAGUCCAAGCUGAAGUGGAAUAUUUCGCAAAAUUUGAUCUACACUCACCCGAUAGCUUUACUGCUAGAGAAAGGUUAUUUUUUCACUUCAUUAUACUUUAUAGAGAGAGAUUGGGGGAGGGGGAGGGGGAGGGGUGAGGUGUAGCCACAAACCUGAAUGGAUAAGCUGUAGAACUGAAAUUUCCAGUCAUGUUACUUGCAAUUUUAAUGAAUUACAGGAUUUACGAACUGACAUAAUAACGAUUUGGGUAAAAGUCUAAAAGAUUCCAGUAUUUUGAGGAUAUUUGUAAUUACUAUUCAUGAAGUUGACCUGUUUCAUAAUGUCUCAUGCUCACCCCCCUCCCCCCACCCCAUCCACUUCAUAUCAGUUCUUAAAACAUGUCGCAAAUUGUAUAUACAUUGUAAGUUGGUAAUAGAGAAAAAUUGAGUGAGGUAAAUGCAAUACAAAUCGAAUCCAUUAUUAAGCAAUUAAGACUUGUUCAGGUACGGCACGUGAACCUCCAACAAAUUUCAAAAAUGAUGCAGUUUGGUUUUAUGUGUAAAGUGAAUG
rnacentral:lncRNA from 15 species